rnacentral:tRNA from 1 species
UAGCUCAGUAGGUAGAUCAUGAGACUCUUAAUCUCAGGGUUGUGGGUUCGUGCCCCAC